rnacentral:rRNA from 1 species
GUCUACAGACAUACCACUUGGAACACUAUUGAUCUCAACAGAUCUCAGAAACUAAACAAGUUCAGGCCUGGUUGGUACUUGAAUGAGCAAAAGCAUACAAAUAUAUGGAGCUU